GGUAGCGAAAUUCCUUGUCGGGUAAGUUCCGACCUGCACGAAUGGCGUAACGAUUUGGGCGCUGUCUCAACCGUGGACCCGGUGAAAUUGUACUGUUCGUGAAGAUGCGAACUACCCGCGGAAGGACGGAAAGACCCCGUGAACCUUUACUGCAGCUUGGCAUUGGCAUCUGGUACGGCGCGUAGAGGAUAGGCGGGAGCCUUUGAAGCGGGGGCGCAAGCCCCCGUGGAGGCGACCUUGGAAUACCGCCCUCGUCGUGCCGGCUGCCUAACGCGCGGCCGUGAUCCGGCGCGCGGACCGUGCCAGGCGGGUAGUUUGACUGGGGCGGUCGCCUCCCAAAACGUAACGGAGGCGCGCAAAGGUCCGCUCAGGACGGUCGGCAACCGUCCCGAGAGCGCAAGAGUGCAAGCGGGCUUGACUGCGAGAGAGACACCUCGAGCAGGGACGAAAGUCGGUUCUAGUGAUCCGGCGGCACAGAGUGGAAUGGCCGUCGCUCAACGGAUAAAAGGUACUCCGGGGAUAACAGGCUGAUCUUGCCCAAGAGUCCACAUCGACGGCAAGGUUUGGCACCUCGAUGUCGGCUCAUCGCAUCCUGGGGCUGGAGCAGGUCCCAAGGGUACGGCUGUUCGCCGUUUAAAGCGGUACGCGAGCUGGGUUCAGAACGUCGUGAGACAGUUCGGUCCCUAUCCUCCGCGGGCGCAAGGGAGUUGAGGAGAUCUGCCCCUAGUACGAGAGGACCGGGGUGGACGGACCUCUGGUGACGCGGUUGUCGACCAACGGCACCGCCGCCUAGCUACGUCCGGCACGGAUAACCGCUGAAGGCAUCUAAGUGGGAAGCCGCCUCCGAGAUGAGCUCCCUUUCCGGUAAGGGCCCAGAUAGACUAUCUGGUCGAUAGGGCGCAGCUGCAAGCAGGGCGACCUGCUCAGGCGAGCGCUACUAAUAGCCCGAGCUCUUCUUCAU
rnacentral:rRNA from 1 species